rnacentral:lncRNA from 1 species
UUAACUAAUAUAUAUUAACCCUACACAAAGAUCUAAAUAUGAUAUAUAUAGCAUGCAUUUAAAUUUAAAAAUCAAACUUCUACAGUAAAUAUUUUACUGUUAUGUGUUCAGAACACAUUACCUUCGUGCGGGUAGUUGAUCAUCGUAAUCUGAUCACUGUCAGGAGGGUUUGAUUAUCGCAAUGCAGCCACACAGUGUGUCUGGCCUCUGC